AAUUUUACAAGGUGGAUGAUUGAUCACAAAGACGCAUCCAACAGUUCAUAUCAAGGUUUAGUAGUCUUCAAAAGGUGGACGGUCCCUAAAAGAGACACAGAGUUCCUCAGAUCAUCACAACAAAGGCAUAAAAAGUCUUAGAGAAACUAAACACGAUACAUGGAUCAUAUGGUAGGUGGUAGCUAAGGUCGACAGUGUUGCGUC
rnacentral:lncRNA from 1 species